GACGAACGCUGGCGGCGUGCCUAAUACAUGCAAGUCGAACGAACCGCGACUGAGUGCUUGCACUUGGUCAAGGUGAGUGGCGAACGGGUGAGUAACACGUGGGUAGCCUACCUCAUAGUGGGGGAUAACAGUCGGAAACGACUGCUAAUACCGCAUAGGACAUAGGAUCACAUGAUCCAGUGAGGACAGUUGGCGCAAGCUAUCGCUAAGAGAUGGACCCGCGGUGCAUUAGCUAGUUGGUAGGGUAAAGGCCUACCAAGGCGAUGAUGCAUAGCCGACCUGAGAGGGUGAUCGGCCACAUUGGGACUGAGACACGGCCCAAACUCCUACGGGAGGCAGCAGUAGGGAAUCUUCCGCAAUGGGCGCAAGUCUGACGGAGCAACGCCGCGUGAGUGAAGAAGGUCUUCGGAUCGUAAAGCUCUGUUGUUAGAGAAGAACAGCGCAGAGAGUAACUGCUAUGCGUGUGACGGUACCUAACCAGAAAGCCACGGCUAACUACGUG
rnacentral:rRNA from 1 species